UUGCAUCUGGGGCAACUUAGCCGACAAUCUCCAUUCUGCCUGCAACCAAGAAGAUGGAAUGGUUCGUGUGCUGUUGAGGUUUGCUAAAUUUGAGAGGAUUAGAGGUACAUAUAUAAACUUAUACUAAUUUCAGUGUAAACAAAAUAUUUUUAUAUAUAAGCCUACCUAACAUCUAGAGUACUAAAUGAUUAAAAUGACAGGAGAACUGCAAAUCUCUAAUAAAAUGUUUGAGAAGUCAGAUGCCAGCUUUAUCUCUAAUAAAAUUUGUCAAUAACUAAUUUUCGAAUCUCUAAAAUAGAAAAACGUAUAGUUCAAUCAACAUUCAUCAAACAAC
rnacentral:lncRNA from 1 species